rnacentral:rRNA from 1 species
ACUAAGCGUACACGGUGGAUGCCCUGGCAGUCAGAGGCGAUGAAGGACGUGCUAAUCUGCGAUAAGCGUCGGUAAGGUGAUAUGAACCGUUAUAACCGGCGAUUUCCGAAUGGGGAAACCCAGUGUGAUUCGUCACACUAUCAUUAACUGAAUCCAUAGGUUAAUGAGGCGAACCGGGGGAACUGAAACAUCUAAGUACCCGAGGAAAAGAAAUCAACCGAGAUUCCCCCAGUAGCGGCGAGCGAACGGGGAGCAGCCCAGAGCCUGAAUCAGUGUGUGUGUUAGUGGAAGCGUCUGGAAAGGCGUGCGAUACAGGGUGACAGCCCCGUACACAAAAAUGCACAUAUUGUGAGCUCGAUGAGUAGGGCGGGACACGUGGUAUCCUGUCUGAAUAUGGGGGGACCAUCCUCCAAGGCUAAAUACUCCUGACUGACCGAUAGUGAACCAGUACCGUGAGGGAAAGGCGAAAAGAACCCCGGCGAGGGGAGUGAAAAAGAACCUGAAACCGUGUACGUACAAGCAGUGGGAGCACGCUUAGGCGUGUGACUGCGUACCUUUUGUAUAAUGGGUCAGCGACUUAUAUUCUGUAGCAAGGUUAACCGAAUAGGGGAGCCGAAGGGAAACCGAGUCUUAACUGGGCGUUAAGUUGCAGGGUAUAGACCCGAAACCCGGUGAUCUAGCCAUGGGCAGGUUGAAGGUUGGGUAACACUAACUGGAGGACCGAACCGACUAAUGUUGAAAAAUUAGCGGAUGACUUGUGGCUGGGGGUGAAAGGCCAAUCAAACCGGGAGAUAGCUGGUUCUCCCCGAAAGCUAUUUAGGUAGCGCCUCGUGAAUUCAUCUCCGGGGGUAGAGCACUGUUUCGGCAAGGGGGUCAUCCCGACUUACCAACCCGAUGCAAACUACGAAUACCGGAGAAUGUUAUCACGGGAGACACACGGCGGGUGCUAACGUCCGUCGUGAAGAGGGAAACAACCCAGACCGCCAGCUAAGGUCCCAAAGUCAUGGUUAAGUGGGAAACGAUGUGGGAAGGCCCAGACAGCCAGGAUGUUGGCUUAGAAGCAGCCAUCAUUUAAAGAAAGCGUAAUAGCUCACUGGUCGAGUCGGCCUGCGCGGAAGAUGUAACGGGGCUAAACCAUGCACCGAAGCUGCGGCAGCGACGCUGAUGCGUUGUUGGGUAGGGGAGCGUUCUGUAAGCCUGCGAAGGUGUGCUGUGAGGCAUGCUGGAGGUAUCAGAAGUGCGAAUGCUGACAUAAGUAACGAUAAAGCGGGUGAAAAGCCCGCUCGCCGGAAGACCAAGGGUUCCUGUCCAACGUUAAUCGGGGCAGGGUGAGUCGACCCCUAAGGCGAGGCCGAAAGGCGUAGUCGAUGGGAAACAGGUUAAUAUUCCUGUACUUGGUGUUACUGCGAAGGGGGGACGGAGAAGGCUAUGUUGGCCGGGCGACGGUUGUCCCGGUUUAAGCGUGUAGGCUGGUUUUCCAGGCAAAUCCGGAAAAUCAAGGCUGAGGCGUGAUGACGAGGCACUACGGUGCUGAAGCAACAAAUGCCCUGCUUCCAGGAAAAGCCUCUAAGCAUCAGGUAACAUCAAAUCGUACCCCAAACCGACACAGGUGGUCAGGUAGAGAAUACCAAGGCGCUUGAGAGAACUCGGGUGAAGGAACUAGGCAAAAUGGUGCCGUAACUUCGGGAGAAGGCACGCUGAUAUGUAGGUGAAGUCCCUCGCGGAUGGAGCUGAAAUCAGUCGAAGAUACCAGCUGGCUGCAACUGUUUAUUAAAAACACAGCACUGUGCAAACACGAAAGUGGACGUAUACGGUGUGACGCCUGCCCGGUGCCGGAAGGUUAAUUGAUGGGGUUAGCGCAAGCGAAGCUCUUGAUCGAAGCCCCGGUAAACGGCGGCCGUAACUAUAACGGUCCUAAGGUAGCGAAAUUCCUUGUCGGGUAAGUUCCGACCUGCACGAAUGGCGUAAUGAUGGCCAGGCUGUCUCCACCCGAGACUCAGUGAAAUUGAACUCGCUGUGAAGAUGCAGUGUACCCGCGGCAAGACGGAAAGACCCCGUGAACCUUUACUAUAGCUUGACACUGAACAUUGAGCCUUGAUGUGUAGGAUAGGUGGGAGGCUUUGAAGUGUGGACGCCAGUCUGCAUGGAGCCGACCUUGAAAUACCACCCUUUAAUGUUUGAUGUUCUAACGUGGACCCGUAAUCCGGGUUGCGGACAGUGUCUGGUGGGUAGUUUGACUGGGGCGGUCUCCUCCUAAAGAGUAACGGAGGAGCACGAAGGUUGGCUAAUCCUGGUCGGACAUCAGGAGGUUAGUGCAAUGGCAUAAGCCAGCUUGACUGCGAGCGUGACGGCGCGAGCAGGUGCGAAAGCAGGUCAUAGUGAUCCGGUGGUUCUGAAUGGAAGGGCCAUCGCUCAACGGAUAAAAGGUACUCCGGGGAUAACAGGCUGAUACCGCCCAAGAGUUCAUAUCGACGGCGGUGUUUGGCACCUCGAUGUCGGCUCAUCACAUCCUGGGGCUGAAGUAGGUCCCAAGGGUAUGGCUGUUCGCCAUUUAAAGUGGUACGCGAGCUGGGUUUAGAACGUCGUGAGACAGUUCGGUCCCUAUCUGCCGUGGGCGCUGGAGAAUUGAGGGGGGCUGCUCCUAGUACGAGAGGACCGGAGUGGACGCAUCACUGGUGUUCGGGUUGUCAUGCCAAUGGCACUGCCCGGUAGCUAAAUGCGGAAGAGAUAAGUGCUGAAAGCAUCUAAGCACGAAACUUGCCCCGAGAUGAGUUCUCCCUGACUCCUUGAGAGUCCUGAAGGAACGUUGAAGACGACGACGUUGAUAGGCCGGGUGUGUAAGCGCAGCGAUGCGUUGAGCUAACCGGUACUAAUGAACCGUGAGGCUUAACC